rnacentral:rRNA from 1 species
UACGGAGGGUGCAAGCGUUAUCCGGAUUCACUGGGUUUAAAGGGUGCGUAGGCGGGUUGGUAAGUCCGUGGUGAAAUCCCCAAGCUUAACUUGGGAACUGCCGUGGAUACUAUCAAUCUUGAAUAUCGUGGAGGUAAGCGGAAUAUGUCAUGUAGCGGUGAAAUGCUUAGAUAUGACAUAGAACACCAAUUGCGUAGGCAGCUUACUACACGAUCAUUGACGCUGAGGCACGAAAGCGUUGGGGAGCAAACGG